CCUACGGGAGGCAGCAGUGGGGAAUAUUGGACAAUGGGCGAAAGCCUGAUCCAGCAAUGCCGCGUGAGUGAUGAAGGCCUUAGGGUUGUAAAGCUCUUUUACCAGGGAUGAUAAUGACAGUACCUGGAGAAUAAGCUCCGGCUAACUCCGUGCCAGCAGCCGCGGUAAUACGGAGGGAGCUAGCGUUGUUCGGAAUUACUGGGCGUAAAGCGUACGUAGGCGGUUAUUCAAGUCAGAGGUGAAAGCCUGGAGCUCAACUCCAGAACUGCCUUUGAAACUAGAUAGCUAGAAUCUUGGAGAGGUGAGUGGAAUUCCGAGUGUAGAGGUGAAAUUCGUAGAUAUUCGGAAGAACACCAGUGGCGAAGGCGACUCACUGGACAAGUAUUGACGCUGAGGUACGAAAGCGUGGGGAGCAAACAGGAUUAGAUACCCUGGUAGUCCACGCCGUAAACGAUGAUAACUAGCUGUUCGGGCUCUACGAGCUUGAGUGGCGCAGACUACGACAUUAAGUUAGUCCGUCCGUCGGGUAGGUACGGUCGCGAGAAGUUAAACGUUAAAGGUAAAGUUAGUUACGGUACGUUGAGACGUUGCCGACGGACGACGACGAGGGAGGAGG
rnacentral:rRNA from 1 species